rnacentral:tRNA from 1 species
ACUUGGCUGGCUCAGUUGGAAGUGCAUGUGACUCCUGAUCUCAGGGUUGUGGGUUUGAGCCCCAUGUUGGGUG